UACGGAGGGUGCAAGCAUUAAUCGGAUUUAUUGGGCGUAAAGGGCGCGUAGGCGGAAAUGUAAGUCAGAAUGUGAAAUCCCCAGAGCUCAACUUUGGAACCAGCAUUUGAAAACUACAUUCCUUGAGGGUAGGCGGAGAAAAAUGGAAUUCCACAUGUAGCGGUGAAAUGCGUAGAUAUGUGGCAGAACAUCAGUGGCGAAGGCGAUUUUCUAGCUUAUUCCUGACGCUGAGGCGC
rnacentral:rRNA from 1 species